UCAGAGAUAGUUUAUUAAAAUAUUAAUUUUGGAAAUUAAAGAUAAAAGUUAUUUUUCUCUGAA
rnacentral:tRNA from 1 species